AAAAAAAUUUUUAUAUUGAAAUAAUUUAAUGGGGGUUAAAGUAUUUUAAAUAGAAAAAAUUUUUUAAUUUUAUAGGGAAGUAAUGUAAUGUGAAUGAAUUUUGAAAUAAUAUGAAAUUAAUUUAUUAAAAAGUAAUUUUAAUUUAAUGUAUCUUGUGUAUCAGAGUUUAUUAAUUAAAAUUUAAGGAUUGUUUAAAUUUCUCGAAUUAAAAAGAGUUAAUUAAUUAAUUUAAUUUAUUGUUUUAUAAAUAUAUAUAAUAAUUAAUUUGAAAUGAAAUGUUAAUCGUUUUUUAAAAUAUCUAGUUUUUUUAUCAAUGUUGUCUGUAUUUAAAGUAUUUUCUUGAAGUAAUAAAAGUGAAAAGAAUUCGGCAAAAUUUUUAUAUUCACCUGUUUAUCAAAAACAUGUCUUUUCGAUAAUAAUUUAAAGUCUAAUCUGCCCACUGAUUUGAAUAAAUUAAAGGGCUGCAGUAUAUUGACUGUACAAAGGUAGCAUAAUAAAUAGUCUUUUAAUUGAUGACUUGUAUGAAUGAUUGAAUGAAAUAUUAACUGUUUCUUGUUAAUUUAAUAUAAAUUAAUUUUUUAAUUAAAAAGUUAAAAUAAAUUUAAAAGACGAGAAGACCCUAUAGAGUUUUAUAUAAUAUUUAAUUAAAAUUUUUUAUUUAAGUUAAAAUAAUUAAAAUUAAGUAUAUUUAUUUUAUUGGGGUGAUAGAAAAAUUUAAUAAACUUUUUUUUUUUUUUACAAAAAUAAAUGAAUGAUUUGAUCCAGAAUUUUUGAUUAUAAGAAAAAAUUACCUUAGGGAUAACAGCGUAAUUUUUUUUUUUAGUUCAAAUAAAAAGAAAAGUUUGCGACCUCGAUGUUGGAUUAAGAUAAAAUUUAAAUGCAAAAGUUUAAAAUUUUGAUCUGUUCGAUCAUUAAAAUCUUACAUGAUCUGAGUUCAAACCGGUGUAAGCCAGGUUGGUUUCUAUCUUUAAAAAGUUAAAAUAUUUUAGUACGAAAGGAUUUGAUAUUUAAAAUAAUUUUAUAUAAAGAAUAUU
rnacentral:rRNA from 1 species